GGUGACAAACGAGCAGGUCGAGCCAGAUAUGGGCUGAUAAAAAUGGGUCAAACAAAAAUAGAUAGAUUAUCCAACCCAACCCGUAUUUGAUAUGGAUAAACCCAUUGGAUAAUAUGAAUAUCCAUAUUAUCCAUAGUCAUAGCAAAUACACCUGCACUUCAAAACACGAUUCUUUCUGCUGCUGCUGUUUGUUUUUGCUCCAACUAUUUUUACAUGGAACUAAAAUGAACAUCUAAUCUACACUACAUAAGAAAAUCUACUACUCAUGAUACACCAACAAUACUCAUCAGGAACAAGCAAAAUGAAAAGAAACUGACAAAGUGAUAAAUAAUCUUUCAUCCAAUCGUCUUUGCAGGCCACGGUACAUAGCUUUUCGAACUAGAGGAGGAGUAUCUUCAGUUAGUACCUCUGCAUCCAACUUCUCAAUAUGCUGCCAUAUCUGUACAUCAUCAAACAAAUGACACAAAAACCACGAUAAGAAAUUGUAAUAGUAAUUCGCACUCAUAAAGAUAAGUAGUUACAGCUCCUACAUCGAAACUCUCGGCAUUUACAAAAAAAGGUCGUUCUUUAUGGAAAACUCAUCAUUAAUAAGGAAGAAGUUUUUCGCAAUGCCCCUCUUUGUAUUAACAAGGCAAAGACUAAAAAGGAGGGCAGAUGGAAAUAAAGAAGUCACCGUUCACAGAUUAAAGGGAGAAGAAGUCAGACUCGGCUGCUGGAAAAUGUUAAAGCCAACAGAAGUCAUUGUAGACAAUCUUUGUGAUGUAUUGAGUGGGUUAAGAUUGAAAAACAGGCACCAGAGGUUAAAGAAACUCACUUACAAACCAAAUUACAAGUAUCAAUUCUUGAAUUUGGUUAUGGUUUCCUUGCUUUAACUAUACGCAUCAAGAAGUGCAUCAUUUCUUUAGACAGCAACAGAGAAAUGAUUGCAGAUCAGUGUACUAUCGCUUCAUUUAUCCUUCCUAGCUUUUACAUCAGUGUACUAUCUCCCAACAGAAGGGAUUAUCUGAGACAUUUACAUCAUUUCAGUAUUUUGCAAGUCACACAAUAGAGCUCGCACUGGAGUAGCACUUAAGACAUCCCGUGCCAUUAAUGAAAGUUCGGGAUACCUUAGCCUAUUAUCCUUCCAAUACACAAGUCCACAUUUCAAGUACCUACACUUAAAACAUUUUCGACUGACUAACUCACUACUCUAGUGACCACUUAAGUAUAUUCAAAAUACAAGUCCACCUUUCAAGUAACUACACUUAAACAUUUUCGACUCACUAAUUCACUUCUCAAAUGAUGACCACACUUAACUAGAUUCAAAAUACAAGACCACAUUUCAAGUACCUACACUUAAACAUUUUCAAGUCACUUAUUCACUUCUCAAGUGACCACACAUAACUAAAUUCAAAACACAAGUCCACAUUUUAAGUACCUACAAACAUUUUCAAGUCACUAACUCACUUCUCAAGUGACCACACUUAACUAAAUUCAAAACACAAGUCCACAUUUCAAGUACUUAGACUUGAAUAUUUUUGACUCACUAACUCACUUCUCUAGUGACCACACUUAACUAUAUUCAAAACACAAGUCCACCUUUCAAGUAACUACACUUAAACAUUUUCGACUCACUAAUUCACUUCUCAAAUGACCACACUUACCUAAAUUCAAAACACACAUCCACAUUUCAAGUACCUACACUUAAAAAUUUUCAAGUCACUUAUUCACUUCUCAAGUGACCACACUUAACUAAAUUCAAAACACAAGUCCACAUUUCAAGUACCUACACUUAAACAUUUUCAAGUCACUAACUCACUUCUAAAGUGACCACACUUAACAAAAUUCAAAACACAAGUCCACAUUUUAGGUACUUAGACUUAAACAUUUUCGACUCACUAACUCACUUCUCUAGUGACCACACUUAACUUUAUUCAAAACACAAGUCCACCUUUCAAGUAACUACACUUAAACAUUUUCGACUCACUAAUUCACUUCUCAAAUAACCACACUUAACUAAAUUCAAAACACAAGUCCACAUUUCAUGUACCCAUACUUAAACAUUUUCAAGUCACUUAUACACUUCUCAAGUGACCACACUUAUCUAAAUUCAAAACACAAGUGACCACACUUUAGUAAAUUCUACACAUUCGUGACAAACACAUUGUCUUACACAAAGAAACAAAAGCAAUUUUAAUCCUAUGAAAAUAACACUUAAUUACGGUAAUUGAUUAUGUGCCAAAUCCCAAUCAGAUCAAAUUACACACAAAAAUCAGCUCCCCCAUAAUCUAAUUUAAGAAAUUGAAAUAUUCUAAACAAGAAGUCUGUCCUAGUUUUAGGGGAAUUGCCAGUGAAACAAUUGACCACAAAAUCCCAAUUUCACCAAAAUAACAUGAGGUAUUAACAAUUGCCUAAGGAGAAACGCGAGCAAUAGUGCAGCCAUUACCUUCAAUAGUAGAUAAUGGGCACUGAACCAGAGAGUGUAGUCAAGACCCACCACUUCCAGUAAUUUAGGAAACUGAAAAAUUAUACAAUACAGAACAAUCAGCAACGAUGAAAACAUAAUUUUUUUUAAAAAAAGAGUUGAUCGUGAUAGAAAAAAAAGUACGAGCCAAAGGUAUAAAAUCGAUGGCUCCAAGAAUUGAAGUUGUCAACUAAAGAGCAGUGACAGCAGCACCACCAAAAAGGACGAGUGAAGAGGAAUCUUCAGGAUCAUACUGGAAUGUAGGAAAUCUUUGUGUCAACAAUUGGAAGGAAAUCACAGACAUAGACAAGGCGACAAAAUUUAUAUUCAACAGGAUGAAAAAGCAAAAUGGUAUAAAUGAUGGUUAGCUUCUUUAAAUUUCCAACUUGUUACAAGAUGAGUAUCCUAUACACAUAGCUUAUGGAUAUCUUUACGUACAAAAGUUCCAUAUAUAUGAUGCAUUUGGAUGUCCAUAUGUUGAGCUAAAGUGAAACUCAAAUACACCGAGAUCCUUUGUUAGCCUUCGUAAAGCAAGCACUAAGAGGGCCACACACAAACAAAUUAGAGAACACAAGAAAAACAGUCACCUAUCCCCUAAAACUACCAAGUACAUUGCAUAAUGAAAAAAAAAAAGAGAACUGCACGCUUCAACGAGCCACACUGCCUCGGUCAUAUCACAUAUCACAAAGAGAGGGUGAAUUAUGAAAAGAGGAAAAAAAAGGAAGAUAUGAUACAUAAAGAAUAGCAUGGAAGGUGCCAUUGCUCAGGUAACCGCUCAGAAUCAACAUGCUUGUCGAUGCAUCUUCAAGCCUUGUGACUUUCAAAAGCUGAACUUUCAUCAUAGCAACGAUAUUUAAUACUAAAUAUUACAUCUAAUGAGUAUUCGAUGUAAAAAUAGAAGGGGGGAAAAAGGAAUUUCGCAUGAUGACCCACACAGGAAAUUGGUAGUGUUAAUAGGGGAACUGGUGAAGCAAGAAAUACCUCAACUGGCGAGGACGCGGCGGUUUGGCAUGGUUGAUUUUGGGAGGCGGCGCUGGUGCUCUGCCGGCUGGCUCGGCGACAUCGGGUUUUCUCCGGCUAGGGAAGAGAAGAGGGAAGCCAGGAAGAGGGGAAGGGCCGACUCAGGUUUCUCAGCGGCGGUGGCAACCAUUGAUGGAUAGAGAGAGGUAUAGAGAGAGAAAAGGUAUAACGGCAUCUUUUUUUGAAAUGGAGGGAUUAGGGUUUUGAUAUUGUUUUAAAGGGAAAGGAAUUGAGAUCUCACCUCAGCAGUUGGAUCAACAUUGAGCAAUUUCACUUUUAAUUUGGGGUUAAAAAUUGAUAUCAAUUUGGCUAAAAUUGAUAUUAAUUGGACAAGAAUUAG
rnacentral:lncRNA from 1 species